rnacentral:rRNA from 1 species
GGAGUCUGGGCCGUAUCUCAGUCCCAAUGUGGCCGUUCAACCUCUCAGUCCGGCUACUGAUCGUCGACUUGGUGGGCCGUUACCCCACCAACUAUCUAAUCAGACGCGAGCCCAUCCUUCGGCGAUAUAAUCUUUGACAGUCCGGAGAUGCCUCCAGGCUGUGUCAUGCGGUAUUAGCAGCCGUUUCCAGCUGUUGUCCCCCUCCGAAGGGCAGGUUGCUCACGUGUUACUCACCCGUCCGCCACUAACUUGGGGAGCAAGCUCCCCUCGUCCGUUCGACUUGCAUGUGUUAGGCACGCCGCCAGCGUUCGUC